CCCUUAACUAUCUUCAGAAGAAAUCGGUAAAAAUAAAACGAACUUUUUGUUACAUAAAGACAAGGAGAACAUUCUUGAUAUUAACUGUGUAAUGAGCAACGCUUCAGAAUAUCUCGAUAGUCGUACUUCUUUAGAGGGCGACUUGGGUGAAAGUUUCACUAAAUUACAAUAUCUUAACAAAAAUAGAUUAUGGCACGAGUUGACCAUCUUUUUAUUGG